UGAGUAACGGCGAGCGAAAGGGAAAGUCCAGCGCACAAUCCCGCGUCCUCGUGGCGCCGGGAAAUGUUGCGUUUGGGAGCGAGCGUGUCGGAGGUCGGCUCUGCAGCAAGUCCCCCUGACCGGGGCUCUUUCCCAGAGUGGGUGCGAGGCCCAUAGCUGCUAGGCCGCUUCCGCGUGCGAACUCCUCGGAGUCGGGUUGUUUGGGAGUGCAGCCCUAAUCAGGUGGUAAACUCCAUCUAAGACUAAAUACCGCCGUGAGACCGAUAGCAAACAAGUACCGUGAGGGAAAGUUGCAAAGAACUUUGAAGAGAGAGUUCAAAAGUACGUGAAACUGCUCAGAGGAAAAGGGGUGGGCCCUCGAAAUCCUGUGGCGGGAGGAUUCAGUCGAGAGGUCCGGAGGCCUUGCCGGGACGUUAUCAGAGUGGAACCCGUGACGGGCCUUCUCGGCUCGGCUCUUUCGGACCGACAGACGCAUUUCUUUCCCGCACGAAGGACGCCGCGACCGGUUGGCGGAGCGGCUUUAAGGGCGGGAGACGGCAGUUGGCCGGUGGUCCGCCCCUGUGGGCCGCCGGUUGUUAGCUUUCCCGUCGCACGGCCGCACCCCGACCGUGGUUGCGAGGCCCUCAUGGGCCUCUUCGCCUCCUCCUAGUGUAGCGAGUGGACGCGGCAGGUGAGGCUCGGAGGCUGCGGGCGCAUGGCACUGACUCCAUGGCCCGGCGGCGCCGAGUACCCCGCUGGCUGCGUCGAGGCU
rnacentral:rRNA from 1 species